rnacentral:misc_RNA from 1 species
ACCAUAUAUGGUUACAUCUAAUAAGAUGUGACCGAAAAUCUAUGUGAGACAAGGUUAGCAGAUCCAGAUAUGGUACAUAACAUCAGCACAGCAAACAUAUUAAAUCAAGCAUAUGCAUAUAAACAAAUGAAUAAAUGAAGAGCGGUAGGAUUGAAACAGUAAGAGUAGGAAGAAUGCAGGUUUCCUAGUUUCUAAUACCUGGCCUCAUAUCAUGUGCUAAUGAAAAUUUUCAGGCAUGUUCAGUUGUAGAAAUUGGAAAUGAAAGUUUUACAGAAAAAUUUUCAGGCCUGUUUAGUUGUGGAAAAAAAUACCUAUUUUAUAAGAAAAUUGCAAACUGGAAUUUCAUGUUUAGCAGCAAUAAUUUUCUAACAGAAAACUGGAAAUGAAUUUUCCAUAUUCUCCAAUUUAAAAACUAAGUUUUGGAAAACUACUUCAGUGUUUCUCUAGGGAUUUAUUUGGUAGAAGGUUAAAAAAUCAAGGGUUAAAUGUUAUCCUUAUGAGUUUAACUUUUAAAGAUGGUAAUUAUUAACCU